GAUGAACGCUGGCGGCGUGCCUAAUACAUGCAAGUCGAGCGAACAGACGAGGAGCUUGCUCCUCUGACGUUAGCGGCGGACGGGUGAGUAACACGUGGAUAACCUACCUAUAAGACUGGGAUAACUUCGGGAAACCGGAGCUAAUACCGGAUAAUAUAUUGAACCGCAUGGUUCAAUAGUGAAAGACGGUUUUGCUGUCACUUAUAGAUGGAUCCGCGCCGCAUUAGCUAGUUGGUAAGGUAACGGCUUACCAAGGCAACGAUGCGUAGCCGACCUGAGAGGGGGGAGGGGCAACCUGGGACCGGAACCCGGGCCAAGCCCCCACGGGGGGGAGGCGGGGGGGAUCUUCCCGAAUGGGGGGAAGGCCGGAGGGGGCACCCCGGGGGGAGUAAGAAGGGUUUCGGGUUGAAAAAACUUGUUGAUUGGGAAAAAAAAAAUGUUAAAGAAAAGAUGCACGGUUUGACGUUACAAAAAAAGAAAGCACCGGCUAACUACGUG
rnacentral:rRNA from 1 species